UGUUCUGUGGCUUAGUUGGCCAAAGCACCGGUCAAGCGAAUACAGAGUCGUGAGUUCGAAUCCCACCAGAACGC
rfam:Aedes albopictus isolate Foshan contig78790, whole genome shotgun sequence.